rnacentral:rRNA from 1 species
AGCGCAGGCGGGAAGACAAGUUGGAAGUGAAAUCUAUGGGCUCAACCCAUAAACUGCUUUCAAAACUGUUUUUCUCGAGUAGUGCAGAGGUAGGCGGAAUUCCCGGUGUAGCGGUGGAAUGCGUAGAUAUCGGGAGGAACACCAGUGGCGAAGGCGGCCUACUGGGCACCAACUGACGCUGAGGCUCGAAAGUGUGGGUAGCAAACA